GGCGCCUCUCCUGGUGGCUACCACGCUCCAAGGGCACCCGGGGGAGCACCCGCAGCUGCGCCGACCCGCAGUGUCACAGAGAGAAGGGCAAGGAAGGGGACGGGGACCAGGAGCCGGGGCCCCGCCGGCCGGCGCAGCGCGCUCACCUGGCCCGCAGAGCCGGCUGAAGUGGUAGGGGUUGCAGCACACGGUGGGGCCGUCGGCGGCGGCGGCGAAGCUGUGGCAGCCGCACAGUGGCUUCAGCUCCACUGCGUGCUGCAGGUCGGGCCAGCGGAAGAGGCGGCCGAGCAGCAGCUGCGGCGGCGCGGGCUGGCCGCCCAGGCGGAGGUCGGCUCGCGGCACCAGCACGCAGCCGCCCGGCACGCCGCCGCGGGACUCCACCGCCUCCAGCAGCGUGUCCAGCGAGCGCUCCUUGAGCCGCUUCAGCAGCGAGUACGUGACCGUUUUGAGUUCCUGCUCCAACAGCAGCAGCCGCGAGCGCGCUUCGCGACUCCGCCCGCCGCCCGCCGGCUCCAGGGCCGCCCGGCCAGGGGGUCGCUGGCGUCCCGGGGCGCGCCGGCGGCGUCCCGCUCCGAAAAGAGACAGCAGGUCACCGUCUCGCAGUCACUCUCGGGCAGCCAGCCCGGGCCUCCCGACUCCGCCACGUCCAGCAGGGAGCCCCCAGCGCCGGCCCCGGCUCCGACAUGGGCCUCGGGGGCCCCCUGCGCGCCGGCGCCUCCCCGCGCCCUGGGCGCCUCGCUGUCCCACUGCGUCCCGGGGCCGCCGCGGGGCUACCGGGCGGACUUCGGAGCGGCCGCAGCCUCCGCCCUCUCUUGCCCGCGGGGCCGGCUCAGCUCGGCUGCCCAAGCUCCCAUCCUCGUCGCCGCCACCACCGCCGCCGCUGCCGACUUCCUCCCGGUCGGGGACCACACGACUUCGCCAAAGUCGCCGCACCAGCCCCGAGCGUUUGGACCUGAACAUACGAUAUCCUUUGGCGCCAGGGGUGGGGGGGAGGCGGUCUCCGGUUACCGGGGGUCCGUUCCCUCAGCGAGGCGCCGGCUGCGCGGGUCGCAGCCCCACAUGAAGCUCCGCCGCGGAGCGCCGUGCAGACCGUGCACAGCCUGUCGUCGAAGGGGCGCCGCAGGGCGACAACAUGAGGGAGCUCGCCAAGGCGGGACGGCCGGGAACACGCGCACGCCGAGCCGCAGUCCGCGCGCGGCCAGCGGCUACAUGGACCGCAGCGUCGGGGCUGCUCAACAACUCCAGUCCCCGCGCUUUAAGGGGCUGCAGGCGGCGCACCGCCAGAAAGACCCCACAUGGGCCGGCGAGCCUUCAAAAGUUGCGCGGCUGGUCCAUGAGCACAAAGCGCUCGCGCGAACCCCCAAAUGUGUUUGGAAAGCCCUCCCUUUCCCCUGCCUUAUUUUAAACCAAAGCGCUUAA
rnacentral:lncRNA from 1 species